rnacentral:lncRNA from 1 species
GGCCCCAAAGGCUCCUCCCUCAGAAACGCUUCCAAGCAGGAAAACAAGUUGACCGCCUCUUGCCGUGUUUUCUUGGCAAAAAAUCCUGUGUGCUUGUAAACGUCAGGAAGAUCCUCCAGGAAGCUCAGAUCGUAGAGACCGUGUUCUUUGUCCGACCAAUCGACCAAAACUUUUACACGUCUGCUGGGAGCAGAGGAAUCCUUGAAGAAGGAAUUUCUGCCUGAAUCCUUGUCAUCUGCAAAUGUAAACUCAAAGGGUAGGAUCUCAUCAUCUUCCUGCUCCGCAUCAGAUAGUGAGAGGCUCCUCUCCUCUGGAAGAGCAUUGGCAUUUUCUGUCAAGGCGACAGAAUUGGAACCAGAAUCAUAGCCGUUCUGCUUGCUGUUUCUGGACGAAACUUCAGAGGUCCGCUUACGUAAAAGGGGUGCGAGAACAAGGCUCACAGCACCGUGAACGU